GUAGGUGAACUGCGGAAGGAUCAUUAAAAAUUU
rnacentral:rRNA from 1 species